AAAUACCAGUUAACAACUGAGGUCCGCGGUAAUCGACUUACGCACCCUCCCCUCCCCCGAAAUUGCUGGCAUUGUGCCAAAAUGUGAAUAUCUCACACCUAUUACAUACGCAUGCGCACUAAGCCUAUUUCCGCUUCUAUUCAUUACAUCUUGACAAGCUUUGUUUGGCGCCAGAAUUUCUAUUAAUUCACUCGGCAAUACAUUUAUAAAACAUUUCUCUACCACCUGACGCACUCAUAACAACGACACCAUCUUUUAUAAAGACAUUUCCGUAAGUAUUAAACAAUGAAAACAUUUAAUCUUUCAAUAAUUCGUGUAUCAGAUUUUGUUCCACAUUUAGCUGCUAUUUCUAGCUAUGGUGGUUACCUUCUACUCUCUCCAUCGUUUCCUCUUAAGUUUGUUGGGUAUUUUAGUUGGAGAAAUAUUCCCAAAUACUCUACAACCCCAGAAAUGUUGAGAAACGAAUGUUUUAUUAUAAUUUAUCGAAUGUUCGUUUCUUGGUAUCGGGAAGGGGAAGAAAUAAGUAAGCGGGGCAAAAUGAGUAAUUUCUUAUUAUUUUCUUACCAUUAUGACAUUGGUUAGAAAGAUUUCAACUGAAAUCAUUGUAGGUUUUAGCCAGAAUUAUUCUAAAGGACAUUUCAGAACUCUUCUGGAAACUUCCGUGGGAUGUUAUAAAAUCCUGGGCUUUUUUUCCGAUUUUUACUUAGUGAAUCGCUUGCUUUCUGGAAGCUACUCACUCCCACAUACAGUUCUUGUUGUAAAAUUAAAGAUACCCGACGUUGCUUUCCUCCAUAAUGACCAAAAGUCAUAAAGGUAUAAACUUGAAGAAAGAAAGCCUUGCAUAUUCGUUCUACACCCGUUUCAUGUGUGUAUGUAAAAUCCGCAAAUUUCCAAACAGAAUCGAACUGUCAUUUGCUUCCACGGAAAUAUCCGAAGUGAAAUGGUUUGACUUUUGUCGAGUUAUAUCGAAGGAAUGCCGUCAUAAGUCUUGUACUAGCUUCAGAUUUGUUUGAAUGAAACUGAGAGGUGCUUUAAUUCUUGUCAUCUCUGUGGGACGUAGCUUUCAGACCGGAAUUUAGGGCCGCCUUCCCGUUUAAUCACAUAGUUCUUUAUUGACGAAUGGAAAUUACUCUCCAGUAUUUAUAUGGAAUUGAAUUUGGUAAAAUGAACGAGAACCAAAUGAAAAUAUCUUUGGAAUUGACGCUUUAAUACGUCUCCAGGAAAGGUAUUUGACCGCUCUUGUCAUUUUAUCAAGAGCAAGUAGUAAAAGAAAUCAGUUUUAAGUGAAAAAAUGUUUCCGAAAGUCAUGGGAGCUGUGCUGUUUUCUGAUUUUGUAAAUAUGCCGACAGGUGGAGUUUGAAAAGGGGCUCAGAGUUAUUGUUAAUGAGAUGGUUAAUAAUUUUAUGGGUGUCUGCAUAUGCAGUAAUGUACAAAUGUCUGGGAAGUGAACAGUGUAUGAGUCAGAUACAUGCUUGCGUGUGUAUGGAGGGGAGAAAAUCAGGUGUAGUGUUGACGAAUCUCAGAAAGCAUGGAAGUUUUGAAGGAUGCAGUGCUCCAACAACUAACAACUGAUGCCGGCAGUUUGUUCCAUGCUUCAGCAACUCUCAGCGUGAAAAAAUGUUUCCUAAAGUCAUGGGAGCUGUGCUGUUUUCUGACUUUGUAAAUAUGUCCACGGGUGUUAGACAGGUGGAGUUCAAAAAGGGGCUCAGAGUUAUUGUUUGUAAGAUGGUUAAAUGAAGGGCACAUGUCAAUCCCAACAUCCGAAUCGUAGCCGAAGCCAGUGCCGCCUCGACUGGCUUCCAUAAAAUGCACCAAUCCGACCGUGGCCGAUGCCAGCCUCGCCUGGCACCAGUGCAGGUGGCACGUAAAAAGCACCCACUACACUCACGGAGUGGUUGGCGUUAGGAAGGGCAUCCAGCUGUAGAAACUUUGCCAGAUAAGACCGGAGCCUGGUGCAGCCUUCUGGCUUCCCAGAUCUCCAGUCGAACCGUCCAACCCAUGCUAGCAUGGAGAACGGACGUUAAAUGAUGAUGAUGAUGAUCUUUGUGGGAAUAUCUCAUUCAACCAUAAUAAAUAUGAAGACAGCCAAAUAGAAACUGAAGAACAUCUACACCACUUUCUGCAUCGAAUGUUUGUUUCUUGAUAUAGAGAAAGGGAACAAAAAUUAGUAGGUGGGGCAAAAUGAGUAAUUUCUUUCGCCUUUUUUUAAAUUUUUUCUCUUUUUUUUCCCUUCAGUCUUUAAAGUCAUUAUGUUUUCAGUAUUGACCUCUUUGGUGGGAAACCUGACUGCUGAGAAGCAAGCAGAUGACUUAGUGGCAACUGAGAGGAGAGAAACAGCCCUAUAAUUGUUGCAGUUAUGGUAGGCCCCUUUACCCUCCUACAAUGGGAUAAUGACACCUCUUUC
rnacentral:lncRNA from 1 species